rnacentral:tRNA from 1 species
AGGGUAAUAGCUCAGGGGUAGAGCGUGUGCUUAGCAUGCAUGAGGCCCUGGGUUCAACCCCCAGUACCUCCA